rnacentral:rRNA from 1 species
UAGCGGAGGAAAAGAAACCAACAGGGAUUGCCUUAGUAACGGCGAGUGAAGCGGCAAAAGCUCAAAUUUGAAAUCUGGCACCUUCGGUGUCCGAGUUGUAAUUUGAAGAAGGUAACUUUGGAGUCAGCUCUUGUCUAUGUUCCUUGGAACAGGACGUCACAGAGGGUGAGAAUCCCGUGCGAUGAGAUGUCUGAUUCUAUGUAAAGUGCUUUCGAAGAGUCGAGUUGUUUGGGAAUGCAGCUCUAAGUGGGUGGUAAAUUCCAUCUAAAGCUAAAUAUUGGCGAGAGACCGAUAGCGAACAAGUACAGUGAUGGAAAGAUGAAAAGAACUUUGAAAAGAGAGUGAAAAAGUACGUGAAAUUGUUGAAAGGGAAGGGUUUGAGAUCAGACUUGGUAUUUUGUAUGUCUUGCUUUCGGGUGGGGCCUCUACAGUUUACUGGGCCAGCAUCGGUUUGGACGGUAGGAUAAUGACAUUGGAAUGUGGCACCACUUCGGUGGUGUGUUAUAGACUUUGUUGAUACUGCCUGUCUAGACCGAGGACUGCGUCUUUGACUAGGAUGCUGGCAUAAUGAUCUUAAACCGCCCGUCUUGAACAACCGGGAACCA